AUUAUUGAAGUGUUUGCAUUUGGAAUCGUCUUAGGCCUAAUUCCUAUUACUUUAGCAGGAUUAUUUGUGACUGCGUAUUUGCAAUACAAGCGUGGGGAUCAAUUGGAUCUUUGA
rnacentral:rRNA from 1 species